AUUGAACGCUGGCGGCAGGCCUAACACAUGCAAGUCGAACGAGUGGCGGACGGGUGAGUAAUGUCUGGGAAACUGCCUGAUGGCGGGGGAUAACUACUGGAAACGGUAGCUAAUACCGCAUACCAUCAGAUGUGCCCAGAUUGGAUUAGCUAGUUGGUGGGGUAACGGCUCACCAAGGCGACGAUCCCUAGCUGGUCUGAGAGGAUGACCAGCAACACUGGAACGGAGACAAGGUCCAGACCCCUCCGGGAGGCAGCAGUGGGGAAUAGUGCACAAGGGGAGCAAGCCUGAUGCGGCCAUGCCGCGUGGAUGAAGAAGGCCUGCGGGUUGGAAAGUACUUUCAGCGGGGAGGCGUUACCCGAAGAAGAAGCACCGGCUAACUCCGUGCCAGCAGCCGCGGUAAUAC
rnacentral:rRNA from 1 species